rnacentral:rRNA from 1 species
GUGGGGAAUAUUGGACAAUGGGGGGAACCCUGAUCCAGCCAUGCCGCGUGUGUGAAGAAGGUCUUCGGAUUGUAAAGCACUUUAAGUUGGGAGGAAGGGCAGUAAGUUAAUACCUUGCUGUUUUGACGUUACCGACAGAAUAAGCACCGGCUAACUUCGUGCCAGCAGCCGCGGUAAUACGAAGGGUGCAAGCGUUAAUCGGAAUUACUGGGCGUAAAGCGCGCGUAGGUGGUUCUGUAAGUUGGAGGUGAAAUCCCCGGGCUCAACAUGGGAACUGCCUCCAAAACAGCGUGACUAGAGUACGGUAGAGGGUAGUGGAAUUUCCUGUGUAGCGGUGAAAUGCGUAGAUAUAGGAAGGAACACCAGUGGCGAAGGCGACUACCUGUACUGAUACUGACACUGAGGGGCGAGAGCGUGGGGAGCAAACAGGAUUAGAUACCCCGGUAGUCC